ACUACUUUUUCAAACCAAAGCUUCUUCUUGACUCGGAGCUUUCUUGAAUUGUUCUUUUAAUGAUGCCUAGCGUCAGCUCUGAUCCAUCCGAUAAGGAUUCAGAGCCCUUCGUUGAGAUCGAUCCCACCGGACGGUAUGGCCGUUAUAAUGAACUACUGGGCUGCGGCGCAGUGAAAAGAGUUUACCGGGCAUUUGAUCAAGAAGAAGGAAUAGAGGUUGCAUGGAACCAAG
rnacentral:misc_RNA from 1 species